CCAAUAGCGUAUAUUAAAGUUGUUGCAGUUAAAAAGCUCGUAGUUGAAUUUCGGGACCAAUAUGUCGGUCGUACUUUGUACGUACUAGCAUCAUUGGUUUCUCCCUUCUGAAGAACCACGAUGUCAUUAAUUUGGUGUCAUGGGGAAUCAGGACUGUUACUUUGAAAAAAUUAGAGUGUUUAAAGCAGGCUCGCGCUUGAAUACAUUAGCAUGGAAUAAU
rnacentral:rRNA from 1 species